UGGAACACCCUCAUAAACCUUCAAACGGGCAAGUGCAGCAGCUCCACGCUUAGUUUUGUGGGGAAUCAUCCCACGAAUGGUACGCCAGAGGAUUUUCGAAGGAGCACGAAAAUGGAUUGGACCAUGAGAAGGCUUCGUGUUCAUCCUCUUACGAAGGAACCUAAGAUACUUCAUUUUCUGACGAACAAGUCCACCAGAAAGACAAAUCUCUUCACACCUAACAACAACAACUCUCUGUCCA
rnacentral:misc_RNA from 1 species